CCAAUUGUUAAUGGAUCGUUCGCCGGAUCACGUUGCUUAUUGCUUAUAUUCUGACAUGUGUUCAUGAGCCAUAAUUUUUCAUGUCCCUACCAAUUUAUCUGCUGUUGAUUGUUUUAAAUUUUAACUCUGUCAUUAAGUUUCGACCCGGGUAGUUGUUUUACAAUUAUUGUAUUACGACUACCUUGGUCUGGAUUGUCGAUUAUUUUUGUUCAUAGUAUACGGAUUGCAAUGGCCAGAUUCGAACGUCAAAUUCAAAACCAAAGUAAAAUAGUAUAGUUCCGUUUACAGUCAUGCAUUUCCGUACUGCUAUCAACAAUAUAGUUGAAUUUUGUGUUAACUGAUGUAUCCAUCAAAAUGGUUGACAAUUUAAAAUAUGCAGAAUAGAAUCUAAGAGCAAGCAAACUUCUCUCAUGCACUUAUUUUCUAACCGUAUUAUUUGUUUUUACCUCCAACUAUGGUUACAGUAAUUCAAUCCUAGACACAUCCAUUUUCAUGUGCAUAUUUCUGACAAUGUAAUUAUCCUGAUUUUGUACUUCUGUAGCACUCCUACUUCGAGGACUACGUUAUUAUGAGUGUCUUUCAGGUAAUCUAGUGUCAAUUUACCACAGCAUUGGCACGUAUGUUUUCAUCUGAUAGAUAAAUUAGCUAUGGGAUAAAAGUUUGUGUGCCAAUGCUGGGGCAUUUAGGUUGUUUGAAAUACGCUCUUAAAAACAUCUGACUUUGUCGUAUAUUUACAUCAGAGAUACUGCUAGUUCAGAAAAAUUAAAUUAUCGGAAGUAUGUACAUGAAAAUAGAUGCGUUAAGACAAAAUUAUUAUUUGUCCUAAACAACCAGUGAAUAAAAAUUAUGUUUGUUAUAGCAAUAGAUUGCAGUAAUUAAAUAUUACAAAUUAUACAAA